GGAUAACAGCCGGCACCGCUCAGGGUCUCCGUAACCGGGCGAAGUUCAUUGAGCUGCAUCGGCUUCUUAAGAUGCUGCAGCUCGCUCACAUCCGGUGCAGUUUUGGCCGUCCGGGAGGAUGGGAGACUCCAGGACUUCCCACAUCUGACACCGAGCAUAGAACACCGGCUUCACACACAUAUUUCGUUUCCGCAAUUAACACAGAAUGAAACCACUUCGC